rnacentral:lncRNA from 1 species
GGAUUUUCAUCUGACUCUAGAGAGCUAGUUAAGUGUACCUGAAUAAACUGAACCGUGAUCUGAAAAGGCUUCCUUUGCACUGAGACAAUUGAAAAUUAUUACCAGGACUAGUCUCAAAUCUAAAGUAGGCAAAUGCCUAGAUGGUGGGACUUCAGAAUAGUGAUAAAAUUUUAUGUCAUCCAAAUUUUUAUCCAGGACAAAGCCAUUUAUUUCAAAAAAAAAAAAAAAAAAAAAAAAACUAAGUUUCUUUAGAAAUGUUCUUGGUAGACAAGAACACCUGGCAAAAUCAAACUAGGUUAAAGGUGUUUAACCUGGUUAACAGGUGUUUUCUUGACACUAACUUUUGAUAGGAAUAGUAAAGAGGCACUUGAAAAACAGGGUAGAGACACAGGGAGGUAAGCAAAGAAUUCAGAAUGCAAAAUUAAAGGUUCCUAAAGGCAAAUGCCACAAUUCUACAAUUAGGAAACCCUCACUUUAAUGUGUCUACCUAAGAAGUUAGUCACAAAGAGACAGCAGAAACUAUUGAUUCAGCAGAAAGGCCUCUGGCCUCUUUAAACAUGGAGUUUAAAGUAGAAGAUUAAGCAGUUAUCUAAACAAUUCCAGAAGGAAAACACACUUUACAAAAAACUUCAUUACCUAGAUCUUUUAGACAGAUAAAAUUGCUCAUUAUUCUUUUCUUCAUCUUGCCAUGAAAUCAUGAUCAGGAAAAAAAAAAUCAUUUUGGUUUUUCCUUCAGUAAAAGUGUAUUGUGACCUAGAAGACCUGUCUUUAGAAAUGAGCUCAUGCAGGGAGGAAAAAAAUAAAAAGCAGCUGUUAAUUUCAUUUGAUUGAGUAAUCUGCUUAAUGAACUGCUUAGAAACCAUUUAGCAAUGAUAUAAAAACUAAUUUCUCAGCUAUUGGAAAACCAUUAGAAGGAAACCAGUGCAGUCCUGGCAGUAGACAUCUUUGGGUUGUAACAGUUGGCAUCCCUUACUUUGGGAAGCUGCUCCUACUACCAUGGAAUUAAGUGGUACUCAUUGUGCUGCCAACCUCAGCACCCUGCUCUUCCACACACCCCUGGCCCAGGCAAGUAUAGUCCCUUUCUGCCCUGGCCACAGUGAUUGGGCUAGAUGAUCUUAUGACCCAAAUCAGGACAAUUAGAAUCAUUCCUUGAGAUUUUUUAAAUCUGAAGUUCAAAUGAGGAGACCUUUGCAUUUUGAAUCCAAGCUAAAAUUAUCCAAGGGCUAUCUUCAGACUCGUGUAGGUAAAGAUUUUUUGCAGUAGGAGAGAACAAAGCCAACUUACCCAAGCCAAGAUGCAAGAUGCAGAAGCCCUGAUGUCAUCAAGUGUCUAGACCAGUUCCAGAGACCAACCUGUACUCAGAUGACCCGGGGGUGAGAAUGAUCACUUGCCUCUUCUGUCUAAGCUACUUUGAGUUAAUUCCAUCUCUACCUACCAAUCCGGAUUCAUCCAUCAGUGACUAGCUAGAAACUGGAUAAUAACUAGGAAAAAGCCAGUAAUUGAGCUCUACUCAGCAGUGUCUAUGACUAGCAACUGGUUUCAAACUGGUAUGACUUAAUUCAGAUGUUUCCUGUCCAAACCCAUCUGCAAGUACUGAGGCACCAAUGUCACCAUUCUGACUCCUGUCAGCUUCCAUUUUCCCCUCUGUUGUCAGGGGAAGAAUAUUUUCCUACUGACCUGCCUUCUGAGGGAUGCUGAGACUGUUAACUCACACAUACCUGAGAGUUCUCUGAAAAACGAUUUGGUGUUAAAGAGGCAGUAAGUAAGGUCUCAAAGGGGUUCCUCUCUGCACAUAAAAUUUUAUUUUCUUCAUCCUUUGAAAAGGAGUAUAUUAUCAGAGGAUCUCUCUCUCUCUCCCUCUCUCUGCUCCCCUCCCCUCCCUCCUCCUCUCUCCUCCUUCUCCUCUUUCAUCCUUCCUCCCUCCCUCCACACAUACACCCUAAACCUUUGCAGGGAGAAGGAGAGCUUUAUUGUUCGUGUUUACUUAUUUUCUGUAGCAGAGACUGGACACCUACAGUUAGCUAGCAACUUUGCAUUAAAUGCAGUGCCUCUGAUGGAAAGAAAAACAAGAAAUGCAUAAAUCCCAUGAAGACAUGAGGGAGGCAGCAUGGAUAAAUGAGAAUACACAAAGAGAAAAACGGUAGAAGCAAACCAUACUGACACAUAAGCCAGCAAGGUCAAGCAGCAGUUGAGUACUUUCUGAAGUCCCUGAAAAAUCUAUUCCCACCCCAUUGGCUCAUACACAAAAUUCCACUCACGGUAUUUGAUGCCUUUACUUAGAGUGAUGAUAGCUCUGAAAUAAUAAUCCUUCACCAUGCCACAGAAUUCUGUAACCACAAAGCUCUUUCAUAACUACUGCCUGUCUUGAUUCAUAGCAAUGAAUGGUGGGUGGACAGAGUAGAGACUAUUACUCCCAUUUUAUAAAUUAAAACUGAGGCUUAGGAAGAUCUAGAGACUCACCUAAAGUCACAUAAGCAAGAGUGUACGAGCUGGGGCUGAAAUAUUAGCUUCUUGACUCAUGAUCUCUGCACUUCAAAUGAGAACCCCAGACAGUUGCUGGUCCUGUGAUAUCCCUUAUGUGAAGAGAAAAAGUAAAAGCAUGUACCAGCUAACUUGAGGAUGUAAUUGGCCAAGGGACGGCUCUACAAAUUAAAGAGUGGAAAAGAAGGAAAUUUAAUAAAUAAAUGUAAUAAUUGUUUUGCAGGUAGAGCCAUGCUAAAUGGUGGUCUGACAGGAUCGAUGUUUUUGGUGCCAUCACUAGAAAUUUAGGGAGAUGCAGAAAAUUCUGCUCACCAGAAUGCCUCAUGGAGAGCCCUCUUUGUAAUUGCAAUGAAAGCUUUCUAGGGUGUUAAUCGAGAGCUUUUUGCUUUCUUAUGUGGGACACUCAGAUAGAGACAAUUAUGCCAUUAUCCCUAAUAACCAGUACUCUAUUCUACAUAGUGAUUUAAAAAAUAAUUAAUAAUUAAAGAAUAUCAUAU